UUGGAACACAGCCAUGCUUUGCUCUGAGCUUUCACCGCCUUAUCGAGUUCCUAGAGUUGAACUUUGCAAGAUUUAGCCAGUUCAUUUUAUUUGCCUCAUCAGAAGCCCAGCUAUCUUCAGCUUGUUCCUGCAGACCUGGGUAUACAGAAGCAUGUGGACGCUCAGAGAAGGGAUUUGGAAGGUGGGGAAGAUUACAGUGAGGACUGAAACUCACAUCUCUGAACAACAGCAAAAAUAAUAAUGAAUCCUUCAUCCAGGUCAGGUGCAAAACAAAGAGAAACAUUCCCAAUGGAAGCUAAGUAACUCAUUCGGAGGAGAAAUAAGGGGGCCUUAAAAAACUUCUUUUAAAAAAUAAUAAUAAAGCUAUAUGUAUACUUAGCAGCUGGAAGUAGAGAAAAAUAAGCAUCAUGUGAUGAAAGUCUUCUUGUUGAAGCACAAGGUCCUUGACUUGCAACACAGGUCACCUGUUUUCAUGAACUUCCAGACAGCAGAAUAAAAGGCGAGGGCCAGCAUAUGGGAUGACUUAAAUUGGUGCGAGGGAAUGUGUGUGUCACUCAGACCGAGGCUGGGACGUGCUGCGUUAUUAGGCCCAGGCCAGGGCCAUGGUACGGUCAUAAAUCAAGAAUCGGGUGUUUGAGAACCAGUGGAAGUGUUAAGGAAACAUGAAGUGGCUGACCUGUGGGGCUGGGCCGUUACUCCCUACAUGAAUUUCAAUGACUAAUGAUGUGAAUAAAUGAGCACUUAACUUUCUCA